GCGUCUGCUGCUGUUGCUGCGUGUGUGUGCUGUGUGAUGGUGGUAUUGCGUUUCAGUGUCAUGUCCUUAGUUUCGCGGGAAGAUUUUUGAGUGAACGGCAAAUAUGACGAAUUCGGUGCCGGACAGAUGGUUAGAGUACAAACCUUUUGGUAACGUGAUCAAGGGCACCAAUAUCAUAGCAUUCAAAGUUCCAUUAAAAGACACUAUAGCGAAGAAUCUGCAGCCGCAGCAGCGGUAAGUAUCGGCAUGACUUGUCAUUCGGGCAAA